GCAACAUGGAUUGACCUAGAGAUUAUCAUACUAAGUGAAGGGGAAUACAUGGCUUUCUCCUCACUUCUUUGCGUUUUUCCAGUGCCUUUGAAAGUACCACCAGAAUGAUGGCUGCAUUUUCAGUGGUGGAAAUUAUUGCUGUGUCUCAGGAGCAAGGAAUCACAGGAUAUCUACUUUCCAGUGGUGAUGUAUGACUCUCAUAAAUGAAAGCCACACCAUCAUAUAUAACACCCUAAUGAGUUUUUUUCACAGAGACAGAACAGAGAUUCCUAAUGUUUCUUGGAACUUCCCAAAAAACAGGGAAAGAAAAAAAAUUCAACUAAAUGCCUGUUUGUUAGCCCAGCAUUGGAAGGAAGCAGCCUUAAAGAAUAAUUGGUCGCUCCUAAGAAACCAUUAAUAUAACAAAAGCUGUCAAAAGAUACGAAGGAAGAAAGGAUGGUACUUUUUGAUUAUGAGGUAGUCGCAAAGCAUUGCCCAGGUGCCGAGAGAGGAAAACUGGACUCUAUCUCUUGAUGGAGCAAAUAUGGAAAAUUGCCCAGAUCCUCUUGGCUGCCCUGCUGCAUACUCAAGACAACCAUAAGACAUUUCGUUUUAGCUCAGUCAACAUUUUAUUCUUCAGAAAUUUGUUAAAGACUUGAAACUUUUUCCAGUCUGUUCUCUCCCACCACUACAGCGCCAAAGUAACAAAAGGAGCAAGGCUCCUCUAGCUGGAACUCAUGAAGUAAAUGAAGAACUACAAACAAUUUAUUAUGGUUAGAGGAUAUGAAUGGGGCAUGCCUCAUAAAAGUGGAAAUUUUUGUAUAGAGCCACAAAGGAUACCUAAGAUUUCUACAGAUAGAGGAAACAGAAUAAACAAAGGCACAGAUGCUUGAACUUGCCUGGCACAUUCAAGGAUGUAGGUUAUUACAGAAGAUUGAGCGGAGUCCC